rnacentral:lncRNA from 1 species
UGCACAUCUAGAAGAUGCGUCUACCCUGUGCUCUUGUGACUCUCUCUCCUUCCAUUUGUCAUCUUUCUCAUUAAAGAAGAGCUUACUUGUUAGCUGCUUUGCCAACUCCAAGAUUUAUAGGAGCUGAAGAGAGUAUUUCAGGCAGGGAAGAGAAGGACUGCACUGACCACAAACUCCCGGAACUCUUCAAGAAGUAAAUGUAUUAAAGAACCUGGGUUGGCAACUGAAGGUGAAUGCUGUUUAGUAGCGAUGUCACUGUGGAGCACAUAUAAAAAAAAUGCUCCAAAGACCCAAUGGCCUCCUGACGCAGACUGUUUUGCUGUCUUUCUGUUUUUCCCUUCCAUGUGCUCCAAAGAAGUAUCUGCACUAGAUUUGGAAAUUUUGACUGGACUCAUUACAGAUCCUGCAAGGUGUUAUCCGGAUUCUCAUCUUAUACACUUUCAUAGCUGACUUGGAAGUUUAGAAAUGUACAUUUCAUUGGAAGUCAGGAAGAUAUGAUUAAAAAAUGAUUUUGGUGCCUGUCUUGAAUGGUUUCAAUGAAAAGAAGACAGAAAAUGAAGAAAAAAACCACAUUCUUCGAAUCACAGUCUUUGUCCCAAAGGCAGCACACGCCUCUGACACCCCCGUCCACUCCUCCUGCCAGCUUCGCUCUAGAGAGAAAGCUGUGAAGAUAGAAUUGACCAGACUCCAGCUAUUUUAUGCAUACAGUAGUUUGGUCCCUUAAAAUUUGAAUUAUGGACCACAUUGCUUUCUCCUGGAAAAUCUCUCAGAAGGGGAAAAGGUAUUCCAAUGACAACAUGAGUGUGAAUUUAUGUGGAGACUAAGCGGACCCAAAAGUAUUCAUUUUGAUUUUAUUGUUAGAACUAUCCGUAGAGAACUAACCACUUCAUUAGCAUGCCCCUGGCACUGGGGCGAAGAGCUGAAGUUUCAUUCUUCCGGACAUCGUGUUACUCACUUAGCCCUCUCAUCAUCGCUAAAUACACUUUCUACUCAACACAACCAGAUCCAAUGCAGUCACCUCGUCUGAGUAACACCUUAUUUUACAGACCUGACUUGCCCCAGCAAACACUUCUGGAGUGCCAAACCAGUGAUGGUUGCUACAGUUAUUUUCUCAUCUGCUCCUGUUUCAGAGGAGGAUAUGUAUCAGAAAUAAGAAAAUGGCCUGAGAAGAAACAAGAAAGAGGUGAACUGCUAAAAGCAAUGCCAACUAUGGAAAAUUAUCAGCUACCUAAAAUCUUUUAUUUCUGUUUGUGGCACAAAAGUGUGGCUCAAAGAAUCAUACUGAAAAAAGAAAUUUUAAACAAUGUUUUGGCUAGGUACAAAUAUGAAAUAAAUGUUUUGGUUGUUUCUUGCCUUCUUUUGUUGUAAUGUUACAUGCCAAUGCAGUCUAAAUUGCAAAGGAUGCACUCAGUUCUACAUCCUGCUAGCUGGGUGCAUUAGGUUUAGUAAAGUGAUUUAAAAGAAAUUCUAAUAACCAUAUGAAGAUGCUACUGAUUCAUUGCUAGAGCUGUGGUCAGCAUUAUGGUUCAGAGCUUUCCCUUACAGCACAAUAUACCCUCCCUCUUAAUUUCUUUUCCAAAUAAAUUCUUCACAGUUUUGUAAAAAAUGAAUGUU